GACGAACGCUGGCGGCGUGCUUAACACAUGCAAGUCGAACGGAAAGGCCCUGCUUUUGUGUGGUGCUCGAGUGGCGAGCGGGUGAGUAACACGGGAGUAACCUGCCCUUGAGUGUGGGAUGACUGCAGGAAACUGGGGCUAAUGCCGGAUACGAGCUCGUGCUGCAGGGUGGGGGUUGGAAAGUUUAGGCGGUGGGGGAUGGACUCGCGGCUUAUCAGCUUGUGGGUUGGGUAGUGGCUAACCAAGGGUUCGACGGGUAGCCGGCCUGAGAGCGUGGCCGGCGACAUUGGGACUGAGAUACGGCGCAGUGUCCAACGGGAGGCAGCAGUGGAGAAUAUUGCACAAUGGGCGGAAGCCUGAUGCAGCAGCGCCGCGUGCGGAAUGACGGCCUUCGUGUUGUAAACCGCUUUCGCCUGUUACGAAGCGUGAGUGACGGUAAUGGGUAAAGAAGCACCGGCUAACUACGUG
rnacentral:rRNA from 1 species